ACCACCAUUAAAAGGAAAAAAAACUAAAACAAGAUGUGCCAAAGUACAAGUUACAUCAUAAUCUACACUGUAUGUCUAACAAAUCUCAUAAAUCCGUCAAGGUUGGGAGGAGUUUGUGGUGGUGGUGGUGGAAAAGAAGCUUGUUCAUCACCACUUCCUGGCAAAGCCGAAUCCUUCUCAAGUUCCGCUAUUAUUUCUUCAUAAGCUUCAUCUAUCGCCGGUUGUGAUUCUGCAAUUCCAA
rnacentral:lncRNA from 1 species